rnacentral:rRNA from 11 species
UAUGCUUGACUCAAAGAUUAAGCCAUGCAUGUCUAAGUAUAAGCAACUUUGUACUGUGAAACUGCGAAUGGCUCAUUAAAUCAGUUAUAGUUUAUUUGAUGGUUUUUGCUACAUGGAUAACUGUGGUAAUUCUAGAGCUAAUACAUGCUGAAAAGCCCCGACUUCUGGAAGGGGUGUAUUUAUUAGAUAAAAAUCAACUUUGUUGGUGAAUCAUAAUAACUUCUCGGACCGCAUGGCCUCGUGCUGGCGGUGCUUCAUUCAAAUAUCUGCCCUAUCAACUGUCGAUGGUAGGAUAGAGGCCUACCAUGGUUGCAACGGGUAACGGGGAAUAAGGGUUCGAUUCCGGAGAGGGAGCCUGAGAAACGGCUACCACAUCCAAGGAAGGCAGCAGGCGCGCAAAUUACC